GAAAUGCGAUAAGUAAUGUGAAUUGCAGAAUUCAGUGAAUCAUCGAAUCUUUGAACGCACAUUGCGCCCGCCAGUAUUCUGGCGGGCAUGCCUGUUCGAGCGUCAUUACAACCCUCAGGCCCCCGGGCCUGGCGUUGGGGAUCGGCGGAAGCCCCCCUGCGGGCACAACGCCGUCCCCCAAAUACAGUGGCGGUCCCGCCGCAGCUUCCAUUGCGUAGUAGCUAACACCUCGCAACUGGAGAGCGGCGCGGCCACGCCGUAAAACACCCAACUUCUGAAUGUUGACCUCGAAUCAGGUAGGAAUACCCGCUGAACUUAAGC
rnacentral:misc_RNA from 1 species